rfam:Heterocephalus glaber contig95802, whole genome shotgun sequence.
GGGGAUGCAGCUCAAUGGUAGAGCAUUUGCCUAGCAUACAAGAGGCCCUGAGUUCAUCUCCA